UACGGGGGGGGCAAGCGUUGUUCGGAAUUACUUGGCGUAAAGGGCUCGUAGGUGGCCAACUAAGUCGGACGUGAAAUCCCUCGGCUUAACCGGGGAACUGCGUCUGAUACUGGAUGGCUUGAGUUCGGGAGAGGGAUGCGGAAUUCCAGGUGUAGCGGUGAAAUGCGUAGAUAUCUGGAGGAACACCGGUGGCGAAGGCGGCAUCCUGGACCAACACUGACGCUGAGUGAGCGAAAGCCAGGGGAGCAAACGGG
rnacentral:rRNA from 1 species